rnacentral:rRNA from 1 species
UUGGAGGGCAAGUCUGGUGCCAGCAGCCGCGGUAAUUCCAGCUCCAAUAGCGUAUAUUAAAGUUGCUGCAGUUAAAAAGCUCGUAGUUGAAUUUCGGGACCAAUAUGUCGGUCGUGCCUCGGUAUGUACUGGCAUCGUUGGUCUCUCCCUUCUGACGAACCAUGAUGUCAUUUAUUUGGUGUCGUGGGGAAUCAGGACUGUUACUUUGAAAAAAUUAGAGUGUUUAAAGCAGGCUCACGCUUGAAUACAUUAGCAUGGAAUAAUGAAAUAGGACGUUUGAUUCUAUUUUGUUGGUUUCUAGGAUCGACGUAAUGAUUAAUAGGGAUAGUUGGGGGCAUUAGUAUUCAAUUGUCAGAGGUGAAAUUCUUGGAUUUAUUGAAGACUGACUACUGCGAAAGCAUUUGCCAAGGAUGUUUUCAUUAAUCAAGAACGAAAGUUAGGGGAUCGAAGACGAUCAGAUACCGUCGUAGUCUUAACCAUAAACUAUGCCGACUAGGGAUCGGAUGAUGGUUUUUUUAUGCCCCGUUCGGCGCCUUACGGGAAAC